AAACAAAAGUAUUUUGUUGGAAGUAAAUUAAAACUCUUUCAAAAGUUUUUCUCCGGCUGAGUUUAUCAAACCCUAAUACAUCCACUGCCAUGAAUUUCACUAUAGCAGUUACAGGGCAAAAUAUUGUCAGAUUCUGGUUAUGGGUUUUUGGUAUGACAAUCCGCAAGGUUAAACGAGUCGAAUGGUGGUCUUAGUUGCUGAUUUCAAUGGGAUUUUGUGCAGAUAUUUAGGAUUUCAUUCUCCGGUACAUCUCUUCAAAAGAACAGAUCCUUCAUGCAAUCGUUUGACAAGGUUUAGCAGCAGAAAAUAAAUGGAGAACAAAGAAGGACCAAGAAAGAAAAAGGAUGCAAGAAGAUCGUGGUGAUUCUGUAUACUGCAAAAAGACUUAAAAGCUGGGAAAACUAAUUGGAAAAAGAAAAGGAUGCAAGAAUAUCGUGAUUCUGUAUACUGCAAAAGACUGAAAAGCUGGGAAAACUAAUUGGAUGAUGCAUCAAUACCAUCUUGGUACUGAGAAGGCUGAAAAGGAAGGCGCGUUCGUUGUGUCAAAAGUAUAACCCCACUUCCUUCUCGUCUUCAUCUGUACCAAGAUGAUACUCAUGCAUCACCCAGUUAGUUUUCUCUGUAUAUAAAAGCAUUGAGAGCAUGUGUGCUUCCUGACCAUCGUUGAAGAGGAUGGGUGUUUCCAUUGGAUCAAGAUCAAAUAAGUUGGAUGACAAGAUUUCUGCAAAGAAAGAAGAAGUGGACAGAAAGAAGAAGUGGAGAGAACCUUGGAGUUAUUUCAUCUACAUCUUGAUAAAGGAGGUUAAUUAUAUAUAGAACAAGAAACAACCGUCAUUCUUUAUAUUAGGUUUUUAAGAGAGAACAACAAUAAUAAUAUGUGUAGGUAAAAUGUCAUUAGCCUUUCUAAAUGCAUAACAACUCUAAUGUUGUAUUAAGGGUUCUACAGAUGCUCCAUUGCAAGACACUACUACUUUUAGUUUGUGAAAAGCCUUCCUAAGAAUUUAUAUUGUUGUAUAUUGAUGAGAGUGCCCACGUUAAAUUGAAACCUCUUUGAAAACAAUAUAAUGGAACCUGAGGAAUUCCCCCUUCUAAAAAUAAAUCUAUUACCAUCAUAAAUUGAUUAUGUAAGUGCAUUUGUAAGUUGAAACAUCAAUAUUCAGUUACAAGUAAGGAAUGACGUCUGGAAUGCAAUCAACUUGCACUUUCUGAAUAUUUCUUCAAGAACUCAUGGAGUAAUGCCAGUACAGUUCUUAGAUGGAAGUAAUGUGAGUACAGUUCUUAGAUGGAAGUAAUGUGAUUUGAAGAUACUGAG